rnacentral:tRNA from 1 species
GGUCCCGUGGUGUAGUGGUUUAACACGCCUCCCUGUCAAGGAGGAGAUCGUCAGUUCAAAUCUGAUCGGGAUCGCCA